UGCCGAAUUUAUUUCCCAAGUGGAUUUAAUUGAUAUAUUUUCGCCAUUUAUUCAACACCCACAUAUCAUCAUUCGACUUCCAACAACAGAUAUAAAUCCGUAACGAGAUGCACAAGAUCAUUUUUUUUUUUGUAACCGAAUCAUCUUAAGAGCCGGUGCAACCAAAAUUGUGACCAGCAAUGGACGAUAUACAGUUUUGGGUUGCAACAAGUGCCAAACGAAGGCGGUUAGUGAAGCAGGCGACUAUGAAUGCACCAGGUGUGAACUCAAGGUCGCAGAACCUAUACACAGAUCUAAAGCAAAGGAAUCUAAAGCAAAGGAGGCUAACAAAGGAAAAUCUAAAGAUGCUGUCACUAAGAAAAGAAAGAAGGAUAGUCUUGAUACUCCUAAUCUCUGCCUCUUCGAGGGAAAAACAAAAAGCGUUUGGGUGCUAAUACAAGAGGGGAAAUUUGGGAGAGUGGUCGUGAUCGUAGUAAAACCGGAGCUGUUGAGGAGGAAGAUGAGAAAGAUGAGCAAGAUGAGCAAAAGGAAAGUGAGGAGGAAGAUAAUGAGAUUGAACCAACUCAAUUAGAAAUCCAAAGCCAAAGAGUAGUGGAACAAGGUGGUCCAAGUCAACAACCCACACAAGGAAAGGUGAAAGGCAAAGGCAAAGGAAAAGUAAAAGUUAAAGGUUCGCACCUUCUUCAUGUUGAUGACAUGAUGCCCGACCUUGAUCGUGGUAUAAUUUGGGGCAGCUUCUUAAUAUCCAGGGCAUCUAUUUGUCUACAAGCACUCGUGGGCUCGUACU